UUUAGCGUAUAGGAAGUAGUUUCUUGUAAGUGUGUUUUGUUGUCUAGAAUAUUGUGUAUGUGUGUGUUUACGUCAUCCUUAGUUCCCGCAAGAGAGAGAGAGAGAGAGCUUCUUUUGUGAGCUGGGUUGUUUGUUUUCCCCUUGUAAGGGGUGUUAGGCUUGGGCUAUGGGAAAGAUUGUCACCUUUCCGCCCUUGGAGCCGAUCUUAGAUAUCGUUGAUGAGAUGGAGGAAGUUGUUGGUCUGUAGAGCGUUGCGAACCCUGUUAGACUGGAGCACCGUAUUUUAAGGUUACUGGUGAAUGAGGUCCAUUGAAAAAGACAGUCGACAGAUCAUGUGAGGUGCACCAACGGUCCAACACGUGUAGUAUGCAGAUAUCUUCUUUUUAUGCAGUAACGUCUGUAUUUCAUAAGAUAAGAUACUGUUAUAAACCUGGUGGUGACACAAAUGGUCGUAGGCUGUGUGUGUUUUUAGCCUACGCAAAUCGCCCCAGUCCAGCGCUAGACGAGCGGUCAACCGUGACCAGUGACAGUACACGCCGGUUCGGCAAGAACCUGUGUGUAAAUAUUUCACACGCAAGUCACGGCGAAAGUGAUCAACUGGAGUGGUCAAGCGACGGUUCUAGAAGGCCAGUAGAGACACUAUAUAAGAGCGAGUGUGUCAAGACACUUCGUUACCUCGCAAUGUGACCAGUACGAGGCGAGAACCAGCACGGUGUGUGAAGUCAGUGCGGAGCAGAGACUAGGUUUUUGUAAAGACAGUGUUAAUGUUGUUGCCAAUUGCGAUGUAUUUGAAAUUCAACUGACUGAUACUUUGGAGCCCUGAGUUGUGAGGUUCUUUAAGUUCCUUGGGUUGUGUGGUGCAGUUUGAAGAGAGCCUGGAUAGUAGGGGAUACGUUACAAUAAGAUAAGAUUCUUCUUCUUGAAACUGUCAGGUAUAGUUGAGCCUUCAGCUCUUGGAACUCUAAGCCAGCAAAAGUGAACAAGAGCUCCCUCUCACUGGCCUGAAAGUGGGUGGGUCAGACUCGCGCACUAAGACCCCUGCCAUUUUCCUUUUCUAUACUAAGCUAACCGUGCGGGACACGCCAUUUAUGAACGGCCCCUUGAGGAAUAGCGCCUGGAUUGUGACAAGGUUGUGGGAGCUUUUUUACAACUCCGCACAGUGCAAUGAGGAUGCUCUCGCACCCCCUUUGGCACCCCCACUGGAGUCUUGUUUUGCUACCCUUUAGCCUAAUCGUUUCCUCCUACGAUUGUUUCCACCAGGGCGCCACUAUGAGGCAAGGUAGCAUGCCCGGGAUAA